GACGAACGCUGGCGGCGUGCUUAACACAUGCAAGUCGAACGGAAAGGCCCUGCUUUUGUGGGGUGCUCGAGUGGCGAACGGGUGAGUAACACGUGAGUAACCUGCCCUUGACUUUGGGAUAACUUCAGGAAACUGGGGCUAAUACCGGAUAGGAGCUCCUGCUGCAUGGUGGGGGUUGGAAAGUUUCGGCGGUUGGGGAUGGACUCGCGGCUUAUCAGCUUGUUGGUGGGGUAGUGGCUUACCAAGGCUUUGACGGGUAGCCGGCCUGAGAGGGUGGCCGGCCACAUUGGGACUGAGAUACGGCCCAGACCCCUACGGGAGGCAGCAGUGGGGAAUAUUGCACAAUGGGCGGAAGCCUGAUGCAGCAACGCCGCGUGCGGGAUGACGGCCUUCGGGUUGUAAACCGCUUUCGCCUGUGACGAAGCGUGAGUGACGGUAAUGGGUAAAGAAGCACCGGCUAACUACGUG
rnacentral:rRNA from 1 species